GCGCUUUGAAGCGCUCGGGGGCAACAGACACAGCCUCUCUCCAAGACCACGGGAAUGGGAGUUUUCUGUGGAAAAGCAAGAACUAUGUUUGAGACAAACUCUGUAAAAGUAUAAUACCCAAAAGCUUACGAAAGAGGAAGGAAUUCUGCUUGGGUUACCUGAACUGCACUGAAGCCUGGGAAGCAGCACCGCUCCCCGUGGUGGGAAAUGCUGGAAUACCCUUUGGAUGCACCUGUGAGAGCAAGCACUCUGACGAGUUUGAAGGGGCCUGAAUUCUGAUCGCUGUUACCAUAUUACACAAUACUUUGUUCUGCUCGUAACCCUGUGCAUUUUGGCAGAAGCAAGGUACCAGUCAAUGCG